CGUGUAGGCGGUCGAUCAAGUCGGAGGUGAAAUCCCUCGGCUCAACUGAGGAAUUGCCUUCGAUACUGUUCGGCUUGAGUCCUGGAGAGGGUAGCGGAAUUCCCGGUGUAGCGGUGAAAUGCGUAGAGACCGGGAAGAACACCAGUGGCGAAGGCGGCUACCUGGACAGGUACUGACGCUAACAGCGCGAAAGCUAGGGGGAGCAAACA
rnacentral:rRNA from 1 species